GUGUCAGCAGCCGCGGUAAGACAGAGGGUGCAAACGUUGUUCGGAAUUACUGGGCGUAAAGCGCGUGUAGGCGGUCUAGCAAGUCGGAUGUGAAAGCCCUUGGCUCAACUGAGGAAGUGCAUUCGAAACUGCAAGACUUGAGUCCCGGAGAGGAUGGUGGAAUUCUCGGUGUAGAGGUGAAAUUCGUAGAUAUCGAGAGGAACACCGGUGGCGAAGGCGGCCAUCUGGACGGUGACUGACGCUGAGACGCGAAAGCAUGGGGAGCAAACAGGAUUAGAUACCCUGGUAGUCCAUGCCGUAAACGAUGGGUGCUAGGUGUCGCGGGCAUUGACCCCUGCGGUGCCGUAGCUAACGCAUUAAGCACCCCGCCUGGGGAGUACGGCCGCAAGGCUAAA
rnacentral:rRNA from 1 species